rnacentral:rRNA from 1 species
UGCAGUCGGACGGUAGCACAGAGGAGCUUGCUCCUUGGGUGACGAGUGGCGGACGGGUGAGUAAUGUCUGGGGAUCUGCCCGAUAGAGGGGGAUAACCACUGGAAACGGUGGCUAAUACCGCAUAACGUCGCAAGACCAAAGAGGGGGACCUUCGGGCCUCUCACUAUCGGAUGAACCCAGAUGGGAUUAGCUAGUAGGCGGGGUAAUGGCCCACCUAGGCGACGAUCCCUAGCUGGUCUGAGAGGAUGACCAGCCACACUGGAACUGAGACACGGUCCAGACUCCUACGGGAGGCAGCAGUGGGGAAUAUUGCACAAUGGGCGCAAGCCUGAUGCAGCCAUGCCGCGUGUAUGAAGAAGGCCUUCGGGUUGUAAAGUACUUUCAGCGGGGAGGAAGGCGGUGAGGUUAAUAACCUUGCCGAUUGACGUUACCCGCAGAAGAAGCACCGGCUAACUCCGUGCCAGCAGCCGCGGUAAUACGGAGGGUGCAAGCGUUAAUCGGAAUUACUGGGCGUAAAGCGCACGCAGGCGGUCUGUUAAGUCAGAUGUGAAAUCCCCGGGCUUAACCUGGGAACUGCAUUUGAAACUGGCAGGCUUGAGUCUCGUAGAGGGGGGUAGAAUUCCAGGUGUAGCGGUGAAAUGCGUAGAGAUCUGGAGGAAUACCGGUGGCGAAGGCGGCCCCCUGGACGAAGACUGACGCUCAGGUGCGA